rnacentral:rRNA from 1 species
AGAACGAACGCUGGCGGCAUGCCUAACACAUGCAAGUCGAACGAGACCUUCGGGUCUAGUGGCGCACGGGUGCGUAACGCGUGGGAAUCUGCCCUUAGGUACGGAAUAACAGUGAGAAAUUACUGCUAAUACCGUAUGAUGUCUUCGGACCAAAGAUUUAUCGCCUAGGGAUGAGCCCGCGUAGGAUUAGCUAGUUGGUGGGGUAAAGGCCUACCAAGGCGACGAUCCUUAGCUGGUCUGAGAGGAUGAUCAGCCACACUGGGACUGAGACACGGCCCAGACUCCUACGGGAGGCAGCAGUGGGAAUAUGGACAAUGGGCGAAAGCCUGAUCCAGCAAUGCCGCGUGAGUGAAGAAGGCCUUCGGGUUGUAAAGCUCUUUUACCCGGGAAGAUAAUGACUGUACCGGGAGAAUAAGCCCCGGCUAACUCCGCGCCAGCAGCCGC